AGAAGCCCAGGUUGGCUGCCUACAAUCAGAGUCCACAUAUGUUCGGGGGAGGGACCCCAGAAGGCGGCUGACAGUAUUCCUUUAGCCAGAAAUCCCUUCAGGGAAGAGAAAGGUGCUCCCCUUUGCCUGCUUUUAUACUACAGACUGUUUCCAACUCCAGCUAGAAGUGACUAUUGCCGAUUAUGGCUAAUCAGUGGCGACAAGCUCCCUUUGACUGCUCACUUCUCCAGUGAGGCUUCAAGCUUCUAGGCAUCAAGAUUAGUAAGGCUGUCUUCUGGGUGGGCCAGUUUGUUUCUCAGUGACACGAAAACAUUGCCUGGGGUGUGCACUGGGUAUUUUCCAGAAAAUAUUUCAAGCAGAAUAUACUUAUUUUCCAGUUUUGAAAACAACUAGAUUGCCCAUCUCCAUUUCUCUCUAUCAUCUACUGUAUUAUUCUAUGGACAACUGCCACCCUAAUAAGGCUCAAAGGAAACCAUGAGAGACUGUCUAACUAGACUUUUUGCUUGAUUUCCUGGACCCAAGAGCAGGAGUGAGGAGCUUUCUCCUGGUAAUUUUGUUAUAGAGCAAUCAAUGAGCUUGCUUCCUCAUGCACAUGGAGGCCAACACCAUGACAAAGGCUUUUGAGAAAAGAAAAGCUUUAUGGAGACCUGACUGGCAAGGAAACAGAAGAAAAUUCUCAUUUCUGUCUCUCUGAGCUGGGGUCUGGACCAGAUUUUAUAUGCAUAGGGUAAUGAGGCAUGAUCUGAUUGGAUAAUCGGGCAAGAUCUAGAACCCAAUCACAUAAAGC
rnacentral:lncRNA from 10 species